UUUAGAGUUUGAUUCAUGGCUCAGAUUGAACGCUGGCGGCAGGCUUAACACAUGCAAGUCGAGCGGGGAAGAGUAGCUUGCUACUUUACCUAGCGGCGGACGGGUGAGUAAUGCUUAGGAAUCUGCCUAUUAGUGGGGGACAACAUCUCGAAAGGGAUGCUAAUACCGCAUACGUCCUACGGGAGAAAGCAGGGGACCUUCGGGCCUUGCGCUAAUAGAUGAGCCUAAGUCGGAUUAGCUAGUUGGUGGGGUAAAGGCCUACCAAGGCGACGAUCUGUAGCGGGUCUGGGAGGAUGAUCCGCCACACUGGGACUGAGACACGGCCCAGACUCCUACGGGAGGCAGCAGUGGGGAAUAUUGGACAAUGGGGGGAACCCUGAUCCAGCCAUGCCGCGUGUGUGAAGAAGGCCUUUUGGUUGUAAAGCACUUUAAGCGAGGA
rnacentral:rRNA from 1 species